rnacentral:rRNA from 1 species
CGGGAAUUCGAUUAGAGUUUGAUCAUGGCUCAGAUUGAACGCUGGCGGCAUGCCUUACACAUGCAAGUCGAACGGCAGCAUGAUCUAGCUUGCUAGAUUGAUGGCGAGUGGCGAACGGGUGAGUAAUACAUCGGAACGUGCCCUGUAGUGGGGGAUAACUAGUCGAAAGAUUAGCUAAUACCGCAUACGACCUGAGGGUGAAAGUGGGGGACCGCAAGGCCUCAUGCUAUAGGAGCGGCCGAUGUCUGAUUAGCUAGUUGGUGAGGUAAAGGCUCACCAAGGCGACGAUCAGUAGCUGGUCUGAGAGGACGAUCAGCCACACUGGGACUGAGACACGGCCCAGACUCCUACGGGAGGCAGCAGUGGGGAAUUUUGGACAAUGGGGGCAACCCUGAUCCAGCAAUGCCGCGUGUGUGAAGAAGGCCUUCGGGUUGUAAAGCACUUUUGUCCGGAAAGAAAUCGCACUUACUAAUAUUAGGUGUGGAUGACGGUACCGGAAGAAUAAGGACCGGCUAACUACGUGCCAGCAGCCGCGGUAAUACGUAGGGUCCAAGCGUUAAUCGGAAUUACUGGGCGUAAAGCGUGCGCAGGCGGUUGUGCAAGACCGAUGUGAAAUCCCCGGGCUUAACCUGGGAAUUGCAUUGGUGACUGCACGGCUAGAGUGUGUCAGAGGGGGGUAGAAUUCCACGUGUAGCAGUGAAAUGCGUAGAGAUGUGGAGGAAUACCGAUGGCGAAGGCAGCCCCCUGGGAUAACACUGACGCUCAUGCACGAAAGCGUGGGGAGCAAACAGGAUUAGAUACCCUGGUAGUCCACGCCCUAAACGAUGUCAACUAGUUGUUGGGGAUUCAUUUCCUUAGUAACGUAGCUAACGCGUGAAGUUGACCGCCUGGGGAGUACGGUCGCAAGAUUAAAACUCAAAGGAAUUGACGGGGACCCGCACAAGCGGUGGAUGAUGUGGAUUAAUUCGAUGCAACGCGAAAAACCUUACCUACCCUUGACAUGCCACUAACGAAGCAGAGAUGCAUUAGGUGCUCGAAAGAGAAAGUGGACACAGGUGCUGCAUGGCUGUCGUCAGCUCGUGUCGUGAGAUGUUGGGUUAAGUCCCGCAACGAGCGCAACCCUUGUCUCUAGUUGCUACGAAAGGGCACUCUAGAGAGACUGCCGGUGACAAACCGGAGGAAGGUGGGGAUGACGUCAAGUCCUCAUGGCCCUUAUGGGUAGGGCUUCACACGUCAUACAAUGGUGCAUACAGAGGGUUGCCAAGCCGCGAGGUGGAGCUAAUCCCAGAAAAUGCAUCGUAGUCCGGAUCGUAGUCUGCAACUCGACUACGUGAAGCUGGAAUCGCUAGUAAUCGCGGAUCAGCAUGCCGCGGUGAA